rnacentral:lncRNA from 12 species
CGCCGGCCGGUUGAGCCAAUCAAUGCCUCCGGAAUGUUUUUCUACGCCGCUGAUUGGUGGAGAACACGCACUCGACCUGCGGGGUCGCUCCUCUGCGCGGGGAACUGACCGCACCUUGACGGACAUGGUGCUAUUAGAAUAUAAGCCUGGAGCUCCUGGAGGUCAUAUUCCCCUCUGGACAGGAAAGGCCACAGUUGGCUACAUAGAGAUGGAAGUCUGGAGUUCCACAUGGCUUUUCAUACCAAGAUCCAUUUUCUGUAAGCACUUACUAUCUCACAAACAUUUAUCCUAUGGUGAUUGAAGAUUUUUGAACGUGGAGAUACAUCUGUCUGUGAACCAGGAAGUGAGUACUCAUCAAACAGUGAAAUCUGCCAGCUUCUUAAUUCUGGACUUCCUAGCCUCCAGACUGUGAGAAAUAAAUUUCUCUUGUAUAUAAGCCA